rnacentral:rRNA from 1 species
UACGUAGGGGGCAAGCGUUGUCCGGAUUUACUGGGCGUAAAGGGCGCGUAGGCGGCCUGAUAAGUCAGAUGUGAAAGUCCACGGCUCAACCGUGGAAUUGCAUUUGAAACUGUCAGGCUUGAGUGCAGGAGAGGAGAGCGGAAUUCCUAGUGUAGCGGUGAAAUGCGUAGAUAUUAGGAAGAACACCAGUGGCGAAGGCGGCUCUCUGGACUGUAACUGACGCUGAGGCGCGAAAGCGUGGGGAGCGAACAGGAUUAGAUACCCUGGUAGUCCACGCCGUAAACGAUGAGUGCUAGGUGUUGGGGGUCGAACCUCAGUGCCGCAGUUAACACAUUAAGCACUCCGCCUGGGGAGUACGACCGCAAGGUUGAA